CAAUAGCGUAUAUUAAAGCUGUUGCGGUUAAAAAGCUCGUAGUUGGAUUUCUGUCAAGGACAACUGGUCCGCCUUCCGGGUGAGCACAUAGUUUGGUCUUGGCAUCUUGCUGGAAGCUGUUGCUGCACUUGGCUGUGUGGCGCAGCGUCCAGCACUUUCACUUUGAGGAAAUUGGAGUGUUUCAAGCAGGCACAUGCCUUUGGACACAGUAGCAUGGAAUAAUUAGAUUGGGCUUUUGCUCCAAUUUGUCGGUUUCUGGAGCUGAGGUGAGAAUUAAUGGGGAUUGUUGGGGGCAUCCGAAUUUAGCCGUCAGAGGUGAAAUUCUUGGAUCUGCUAAAGACGGACAACUGCGAAAGCGUUUGCCCAGGAUGUUUUCAUUGA
rnacentral:rRNA from 1 species